CGGACGGGUGAGUAACGCGUGAGGAAUCUGCCGAGAAGUGGGGGAUAGCUCGCCGAAAGGCGAAUUAAUACCGCAUAUGGUCAGUGAAGACAUCUUCACAACACCAAAGCCGGGGCAACCUGGCGCUUCUUGAUGACCCCGCGGCCUAUCAGCUAGUUGGUGAGGUAACGGCUCACCAAGGCUAUGACGGGUAGCUGGUCUGAGAGGACGACCAGUCACACUGGAACUGAGACACGGUCCAGACACCUACGGGUGGCGGCAGUCGAGAAUUUUUCACAAUGGGGGCAACCCUGAUGGAGCGACGCCGCGUGGAGGAUGAAGGCUUUCGGGUUGUAAACUCCUGUCAUUUGAGAACAAGGUGCAUCGAUUAACUGUCGAUGUAUUGAUAGUAUCAGAAGAGGAAGAGACGGCUAACUCUGUGCCAGCAGCCGCGGUAAUACAGAGGUCUCAAGCGUUGUUCGGAUUCAUUGGGCGUAAAGGGUGCGUAGGUGGCGGGGUAAGUCAGGUGUGAAAUUCCGGAGCUCAACUCCGAAACUGCAUUUGAUACUGCCUUGCUUGAGGACUGGAGAGGAGACUGGAAUUUACGGUGUAGCAGUGAAAUGCGUAGAUAUCGUAAGGAAGACCAGUGGCGAAGGCGGGUCUCUGGACAGAUCCUGACACUGAGGCACGAAGGCUAGGGGAGCAAAAGGGAUUAGAUACCCCUGUAGUC
rnacentral:rRNA from 1 species